GUAUGUUUGUGUGUGGAUAGUGUUCAGCACCAAGGACAGAUAUAUGUUUGUGUGUGGAUAGUGUUCAGCACCAAGGACAGGUAUGUUUGUGU
rnacentral:pre_miRNA from 1 species